rnacentral:misc_RNA from 1 species
GAUGAAGAACGUAGCGAAAUGCGAUACUUGGUGUGAAUUGCAGAAUCCCGUGAACCAUCGAGUCUUUGAACGCAAGUUGCGCCCGAAGCCUUUAGGCCGAGGGCACGCCUGCCUGGGCGUCACACGCCGUUGCCCCCCCCGCGCCUCCCUCGGGAGCGUCGGGGGGCGGACGAUGGCCUCCCGUGCGUCACCCCGCGCGGCUGGCACAAAUGCCGGGUCCUCGGCGACGAACGCCACGACAAUCGGUGGUUGUCGAACCUCGGUUGCCCGUUGUGCGCUUUCGUCGCGCUCCGAUCGGCCCGCGACGCUCCCCGCUCCGCUUCGGCCGAGCUUUCGACGCGACCCCAGGUCAGGCGGAGUUACCCGCUGAAUUUAAGCAUAUCAAUAAGCGGAGGA